rnacentral:rRNA from 1 species
GACGAACGCUGGCGGCGUGCUUAACACAUGCAAGUCGAACGGAAAGGCCCUGCUUUUGUGGGGUGCUCGAGUGGCGAACGGGUGAGUAACACGUGAGUAACCUGCCCUUGACUUUGGGAUAACUUCAGGAAACUGGGGCUAAUACCGGAUAGGAGCUCCUGCUGCAUGGUGGGGGUUGGAAAGUUUCGGCGGUUGGGGAUGGACUCGCGGCUUAUCAGCUUGUUGGUGGGGUAGUGGCUUACCAAGGCUUUGACGGGUAGCCGGCCUGAGAGGGUGACCGGCCACAUUGGGACUGAGAUACGGCCCAGACUCCUACGGGAGGCAGCAGUGGGGAAUAUUGCACAAUGGGCGGAAGCCUGAUGCAGCAACGCCGCGUGCGGGAUGACGGCCUUCGGGUUGUAAACCGCUUUCGCCUGUGACGAAGCGUGAGUGAAGGUAUGGGUAAAGAAGCACCGGCUAACUACGUG